rnacentral:rRNA from 1 species
AUGGGAUUGGGAACUACCACCGGCACCACCGUACGGAUCGUUUCCGCGCGCAUGGUCCAGCCGCCAAGCGGUGGCGGUGGCACGCCAUCGGAAGACAUCCACCUCACGCCCUGGGACCUUCGUCUGCUCACCAUAUACUACAUACAGAUGGGUAUCGUCCUGCCCAAGCCUCCUGUCGGAGGCAAGAGCUUGGUUGACGCCCUGGCCUCCUCCUUGGCGCGCACCCUCGUCCGGUACUACCACUUUGCCGGCCGGCUGGCCGUCGAGGAGCUCGGCGACGGGACUGUCACCGUCUCUCUGCGAUGCACCGGGGAAGGCGCCGAGCUCGUCCACGCGGAGGCGCCCGGCGUGGCCGUGGCGGACCUGAUGGGCUCGGUGCACACCUCGUCGCCCGUGGACUCUGCCUUCUUCUCGCUGAGCGGCGUGCUUAACGGGGACGCCGCUAUCCAGUCACUCCCUGUGCUGUCUGCGCAGGUGACUGAGCUGGCGGACGGCGUCUUCAUCGCGGUGUCCAUGAACCACUCUGUGGGCGAUGGCACAAACUUCUGGGACUUGUUCAACACAUGGUCGGAGAUCCACCGAGGAGGCGAUGUUAACAACACGACGCCAUUACUGCACGGCAGGUGGUUCGUGGAGACGAGUCCUGUGCCGAUCCCCUUGCCGUUGAGCAAACUGCAACACGUCCUCCAGCGGUUCCACCUCCCGCCGGUGCGAGAGGCCUUCUUCACCUUCUCAGCUGCGAGCGUGAAGAAGCUCAAGGCGAGGGCGAACGAGGAGAUGGCCACCAACGCCAUCUCGUCGCUGCAGGCUCUGCUGGCGCACCUUUGGCGGGCAGUGUGCCGGGCCCGGCGCGUUCCGAAGGGGCAGGAGACCUUCUACGUCCUCGUCAUCGGCUGCCGGGGGCGCGUGCACGGCAUCGCGCCAGGCUACGUGGGCAGCGCCCUGGUGGUCGGAAGGGCGGUCUGUGCCGCCGGCGAGGUCCAAGACAAGGGGCUAGGCUGGACGGCCUGGCAGCUGAACCGCACCGUGGCAUCCUUCGACGAGGCCACGUUGAGGGAGUUCCUAGACCGCUGGGUCCGGGAACCCACGUUCCCCUACUCCAAGGACCUGUCGGCACGGGGCGGGCUGGAGAUGAGCAAUUCGCCUCUGUUCAACGUCUUCGGGAACGACUUCGGGUGGGGGAGGCCCCUCGGCGUCCGUAGUGGCUUCGGCGCCGACGACAAGUCGGACGGCAAGGCCACGGUGUUCGAGGGGCCGGAGGGGGGAGGAAGCAUGUCGCUGGAGGUGUGCUUGGCGCCGGACGUGCUGGAGAGGCUGCUCGCCGACCACGAGUUCAUGGACGCGGUCACCCUUCCACUUCCACUUCCUGCGUGA